rnacentral:rRNA from 1 species
UUCCGGUUGAUCCUGCCGGACCUGACUGCUAUCGGAUUGAUACUAAGCCAUGCGAGUCAUUGUAGCAAUACAAGGCAUACGGCUCAGUAACGCGUAGUCAACCUAACCUAUGGACGGGAAUAACCUCGGGAAACUGAGAAUAAUGCCCGAUAGAACAUUAUGCCUGGAAUGGUUUAUGUUCCAAAUGAUUUAUCGCCGUAGGAUGGGACUGCGGCCUAUCAGUUUGUUGGUGAGGUAAUGGCCCACCAAGACUAUUACAGGUACGGGCUCUGAGAGGAGUAGCCCGGAGAUGGGUACUGAGACACGGACCCAGGCCCUAUGGGGCGCAGUAGGCGAGAAAACUUUGCAAUGUGCGAAAGCACGACAAGGUUAAUCCGAGUGGUUUCUGCUAAAGAAACCUUUUGUCAGUCCUAGAAACACUGAUGAAUAAGGGGUGGGCAAGUUCUGGUGUCAGCUGCCGCGGUAAAACCAGCACCUCAAGUGGUCAGGAUGAUUAUUGGGCCUAAAGCAUCCGUAGCCGGCUCUGUAAGUUUUCGGUUAAAUCUGUACGCUCAACGUACAGGCUGCCGGGAAUACUGCA